AACGAACGCUGGCGGCAUGCCUAACACAUGCGAGUCGAACGAGACCUUCGGGUCUAGUGGCGCACGGGUGCGUAACGCGUGGGAAUCUGCCCUUGGGUUCGGAAUAACUCGCCGAAAGGCGUGCUAAUACCGGAUGAUGACGUAAGUCCAAAGAUUUAUCGCCCAAGGAUGAGCCCGCGUUGGAUUAGCUAGUUGGUGAGGUAAAGGCUCACCAAGGCGACGAUCCAUAGCUGGUCUGAGAGGAUGAUCAGCCACACUGGGACUGAGACACGGCCCAGACUCCUACGGGAGGCAGCAGUGGGGAAUAUUGGACAAUGGGCGAAAGCCUGAUCCAGCAAUGCCGCGUGAGUGAUGAAGGCCUUAGGGUUGUAAAGCUCUUUUACCCGGGAUGAUAAUGACCGUACCGGGAGAAUAAGCUCCGGCUAACUCCGU
rnacentral:rRNA from 1 species